rnacentral:rRNA from 1 species
GAUGAACGCUGGCGGUGUGCCUAACACAUGCAAGUCGAGCGAACAGACGAUGAGCUCGUUCCUUUCACGUUAGCGCCGGACGGGCGAGUAACACGUGCAUAACCUUCCUCUUAUUCUUGGAUGAUUUCGUGAAACCGGUUCUAAUACUGGCUAAUACAUUCUACCGCUUGGUGCAAUAGUUCAACACGCCUUUCCUGUCUCUUUUAGCCGGUUUCGCGCUGGAUUAGCUAGUUGGUAAGGUAACGGCUUACCAAGGCGACGAUGCGUAGCCGACCUGAGAGGGUGAUCGGCCACACUGGAACUGAGACACGGUCAAGACUCCUACGGGAGGCAGCAGUGGGGAAUCUUCGGCAAUGGGCGAAAGCCUGAUGCAGCAACACCGCGUGGGUGAGGAAGGCCUUCGGAUCGUAAAGCUCUGUUGUUGGGAAAGAACAGAUGUAGGAGAAACUAUGGACGUCUUGACGGUACCUAAUGAAAAAGCCACGGCUAACUUCGUG